AUACAUGCAAGUCGAGCGAAUGGAUUAAGAGCUUGCUCUUAUGAAGUUAGCGGCGGACGGGUGAGUAACACGUGGGUAACCUGCCCAUAAGACUGGGAUAACUCCGGGAAACCGGGGCUAAUACCGGAUAACAUUUUGAACCGCAUGGUUCGAAAUUGAAAGGCGGCUUCGGCUGUCACUUAUGGAUGGACCCGCGUCGCAUUAGCUAGUUGGUGAGGUAACGGCUCACCAAGGCAACGAUGCGUAGCCGACCUGAGAGGGUGAUCGGCCACACUGGGACUGAGACACGGCCCAGACUCCUACGGGAGGCAGCAGUAGGGAAUCUUCCGCAAUGGACGAAAGUCUGACGGAGCAACGCCGCGUGAGUGAUGAAGGCUUUCGGGUCGUAAAACUCUGUUGUUAGGGAAGAACAAGUGCUAGUUGAAUAAGCUGGCACCUUGACGGUACCUAACCAGAAAGCCACGGCUAACUACGUGCCAGCAGCCGCGGUAAUACGUAGGUGGCAAGCGUUAUCCGGAAUUAUUGGGCGUAAAGCGCGCGCAGGUGGUUUCUUAAGUCUGAUGUGAAAGCCCACGGCUCAACCGUGGAGGGUCAUUGGAAACUGGGAGACUUGAGUGCAGAAGAGGAAAGUGGAAUUCCAUGUGUAGCGGUGAAAUGCGUAGAGAUAUGGAGGAACACCAGUGGCGAAGGCGACUUUCUGGUCUGUAACUGACACUGAGGCGC
rnacentral:rRNA from 1 species